rnacentral:rRNA from 1 species
UACGGAGGGUGCAAGCGUUGUCCGGAAUCACUGGGCGUAAAGAGCUCGUAGGCGGUCUGUUGCGUCCGCUGUGAAAACUCGGGGCUUAACCCCGAGCCUGCAGUGGAUACGGGCAGACUAGAGGUAGGUAGGGGAGAAUGGAAUUCCCGGUGUAGCGGUGAAAUGCGCAGAUAUCGGGAGGAACACCGGUGGCGAAGGCGGUUCUCUGGGCCUUACCUGACGCUGAGGAGCGAAAGCGUGGGGAGCGAACAGG